rnacentral:lncRNA from 1 species
AGUGAUCCCAGGAAUUGUGGCACAACCUUCAACCUUAGCUCUCAGGAGGCUGAGGUGGUAGAUCUUUGUAAGUUCGAAGCCAGCCCAGUCUACACAGAGAACUCCAAGUCGGUCAAGGCUACACAGAGAAACAUUGUCCCAAACUAAAAACCAAACCCCAGGACAAAGCUGUGAAUUUGUGAGGCAGAAUCUACAAGCAAUGAAUGAGUGGAGAGCCCAUGCAGCUAAGAAAUCUGUUCCAUGCCCCACAGCUUGUGACUGUGGGACUCUGUGGACAUGAAACCUGGCUUGUAACUUCACACCUUGAUUGGGUUAGCAAGCUAGUCUGAAGCUCAAGACGACAUGAAGCCCUACAGAGUCUGGUUCUCCCCGCUCCCUGUUCUACAUUGCUGGCUCUGUCUCAGUUUCCCACCUGGGCACCAGCACGACAUUUAGACAGCAGUCACUCUGACUCUGGAGCCCAACUGAAACUGACCAGACCAAUUGGCUUUCAGAAAUGGGAUGUGACAGGUGACAACAACUAAACCUCCUCUAGAGACUGUGCCACAUGUACGGAAAGACACUGUAGAGCAAGGGGGACAGAGUUACGCCUGGGUUCUCUGGACGGCAGCUUUGGA